AGUGCCAAGACCAAGUUGGCAACCAAAGUGGAAAUAAAAUACUGGAGAAAAACACCAACAAGAAACGAAAAUAAAAUUGAAAGAAAGAAAAACGCUACAAUUAAUACAAGAGAUACGAGGUUACAAAAUUAUCCCUGUCUAAAUUUUCGCUUCUUUUGUUUUUUUAUUUUUAUUUUAUUAUUUAAGAAUAGCAUAUCCUACAACUUAAAUUAACAAUUUAUAGAUUUUUUUUUGGUUCUCGUGGUAUAGUGACGUCAGUGAAUCGUUUUUUAUCAACUUCUAAUCUCUACUGUUUAGUUAAGCCUGUAAAAGUUUUUGAAGUUUCAAGUAGCUGCUAUAUAACAAAAUAUUUGCAGCUUGAGUGUUCACGCUUAAUCCAAACCAAUUGAAAGCGAAGCUGCAACGUCAUUGGGUCAUUUACUUGAAGUCGGGGUUAUAGCUUAGCGGAGAAUUUUUCAUUACUCGCUAUUGUUGCUUAAAGAAUAGGAUUUUAUAUAAAAGAGGUAAGUUUUUUUCGUGCAAGAACAGUUUUGUGAUUGGUUAAAUUCAGACUUUCUUGUGAAUGGCUACAUUCAAAGUAAUGAUUCGUGAUAAUUGGUUAAAUGUUUGAAAUAUCAAGGUUUGAUUGGUUUGUUAAGAAAACAUUACAGUGUUUGCUUAAACGCUCUUAUUGACGUCAUUGCGAUGAAAAAGUAAAUGUGAUUUCGUUUUAUACUCUACUUCAUUUUAAAUAUGUCCUCACUUGAAAAUGUUCUCAAAAUAAAGAAAAAUAAACACAGUGGUCUUCCGUAAAGGAAAACGCCUUGUAUUAUUUCGGCUUUUUUUUUUGUCUUAGGUAAACACACAGACUUAAGAAAGUGGUCAAUUACGUACACUCAGUAUUUAUGUGACAGUGACGAAGUUUUUCGCACAGCAUAGUAAAAAUGUGUCGUUUUUAGGGAUUUCCUUGUUAAUAUUUGAAACUCUGCGUUAAUAAGAGCCAAUGGAGAAGGACUUGGUGAGGUAUAUUUGUGCACUGCCUAAUUCCAAACUGACAGGCUUUGUCACGCAAAAUUGCGUACACAACUCCGGAAUUUAUUUCGUGCAUGUUUACAUGAAAACAUAAGCGUACCUCUUUGCGGCAGGUAAUUGGAUAAAAAGAGAUCUAACUCUUUUGCCACUAUACAAAUAUGAGAUGGAUUCACGCAUAAAAUGCGGUGUUUGCAGCGAGCAAUCUUUCCAAGACGCUCUCCAUCUGUGCUCUCCAGUGGGGUGGCGUGAAAUAAUAUCAUCAUAACUAAAUCCAAUCUAAAAUUUAAACAAAAAUCGAUUAAAAAUGAAAAAUACUGUAAUUCAUAUUUGUAUAACAUCAUCUUCCUUGAUUAAUUCCCGUGCAUCGGUUUUGCAUCCGUUCUUCGUGAUUGGAGCUUUGCGUUACUUAGCAACUUGAACAGCAAGAACAACAACAAUUGAUAUGCCACAAUCAGCCUUCUGUGUUUCAAAGACUAUCAACGGCGCCUAUACUCCGGAUAGCGUGAAUGCAUCUCAUAAAUGCAUUUCAGGUGCCACAUUUUAAAUGACAGCCCGAGGCUUUUUUUUUAAAAAAAGAAACUGUUUCGUACCUCCAUACUUUAUCAGCUUGUCGAAGACAGUCUAUUCUUCUCAUUUUCCCUUUCUGAUCAGGAUUGGAAAUAAUACACUCAGUGUUUUCUUUACCUGUAACCGCUGCAAUAAAUUCACUCCUAUGAAAAGAAAACACGAAAGAAUGUUUAUUCUUUAAGGUUUUAGUGUUUGGAUAAAAAUUUACUUCGAAAGAAGUUUAUAGCUUAUACUUUAGGUCUGUGUUAUCUCAGCAACAGCAAUCGCGGGACUCGCGAAGGGAUGAUUUCAUUCAUGCAUUUUAGGUGCGCAAACUAAAAAUGGCGUUUAAUUUGAGCAUUACUACUGAUUACUCUUGCGCAGUUUGUUAUAAAAAAUUUAAUACCUCAUUAUUGGUUUGCAUUAAGGUUUUUCAAAUUACUCUGUCAUUCUUGGAAUUAAGAUUAAGUGUCUCAUCCAUACUCUAUUGACGCCUGGUCAUGCGUCACUGAGCAACAUCAAUGAAGCGCGAAAGUCAACAAAACACGCGUGUAAAAGAUGAAUUGUAAAUACAUAAGAACGUCUUUUUGUUCUUUACGGUCUAUAGUAAAAAUGACAAAGUCUUAUUGACGUCAGUUGCGAUGUAUUUUCGUUAAAAUUUUGGAAUAGAAUCGCAAAAAAUACAACACUCUGACGUAAUCGUCUUCGCGAUGAAAUUGUUCGCCAAAAGGCUGGUACAUCUAUUUUUAGCCAUGCCCCGUUUGUUUGUUUUUUGGUUACUUUUUUUUGGUAAUCGACCAAUUCUUUAGCAAUUUUGAUUUUUCUCUAACCAAGAAUCGUGUUCCCUAAUCAAGAAUCGUGUUUUCCCCAAAUAAGAAACGCCAACAAAAGCCGCAAAUCGUAAUUUUCUUAGCAGUAUCGCGGAUCAUCUUCGAAAAUUAAGCAAAUUAUUUAUUCCCUGUCGCAACAAGAGCGCAUAACUUAUUUACGAGUUUUGACAUUAAAUUAUCUCUCAUAAACAGAUUUUUAAUUUCCUAUUCCUUCUCUAACUACCGCUUUAACUAACUAACAUUUUAAUUGUUAAUGACCUAUGAACCUUCUCUAUCUUCCCUUCACCAAACAAAUGUUCUCUUUUUUUCGAUUAUGCUAUCGCUGUGACCUGGCGUGUGGGUUAUGCGAGCAUAAGGUGAAAAAUAGAAGUGCGCGAUCGCGUGAUGACCUAUGACGCAGUUAAACAUCUUUUUUUACAUUCAAUAUUGCAACUUUCGUUAAUGACUUAAUUAGAAGUAAUCUUUUGAACACAAACUUGCAAUGUUAUAAUAUGUUAUAAUAUUUUGCAGAUUGAUUUAUAAAAGCCUGGGUUCGAAAACCGCACUACCUGUAACAUGCACAUCUUUUGCGCGGAGUAAUCGUAACGAUCGCUAAUUAUUUCUCGACUAACCUGCAUUCUGGUUUAAUGUCUUUUCGUAGUUUUGCUAACAAUCUCGACGCCCACUUUUGUUUUACAUCGUAAGGUUGAUUUUCUAACUCGUCUUUAGUUUCACGUAACAACUCCAUACUCAUUUUGGAGUCGUGUUUCUUGAAAUGUUUACGCUUUCUUGCUUGCAUGUUGAACCAUGUGUAGGAAAAUGUCUUCACCAACGGCAAGCAUUGUUCGAUGAAUGGGUGGUAAUCCUCCUGCGAGAGAAAUUUUUAUUAGUGAACGUUAAACAUGUGGGAUAAAAAACUAAAUACCCCUAGAUAUAAAUGCUCUAGAAGUCAAUCGGCAUUUAUGUCGUUUUUCCAUUCAGCUCUUCUAAAAUUUUCUUUAAAUACACGCCAAGAAUUGUGGUGUCAACCGAAUACUUCGCAAUGACUCCGCCUUAGAUGCAUUGCGUUAUGUAAAAUGAGAAUCCAAACCAGUGUUAAACUUGAUUUGUAAAGCUUAACUUAAAAACAAAGUUAGUAUAACAUAGACAAAUAAAUAAAAGCAUGAAUAUACUUUAUUGAGUUGUGAUUGGAUGUGGUUAAACUGUUCCAUGAUGAAGUGAAGUACCUCUCACAUCAGAUGCAACCUGAUAAUGCAUUGUCUUAUCCUAACCCCCACCAAUAUAUAUACUGUUACGGUUAAUCCGAUAUUAUAUCCGUUUUAAUCGGAUGCGGAAUGAUUACUUCAUCCGCGAGAAGAAUGGUUUUGGAUGUUCUCAUUUUGAUGAGCGUUUAAGGAGAGAAAUUAAUUGGAUGACAUGAUUUGACGCCGUGUCAAUCAUGCGGAUGAAUGUAUGCGGAACAAAAUGUACUCAAUAUACCAACCGCGGAAGAAUUUUUGGUGUUUAAAUUUACUUAAUAUUCAAUAACUUAUUAAGAUUGCCAGAAAAUAAAGCGUAAUUAAUUUCUGUUCUUGGAAAAGUAAAAAACAAUGUAACAUUUCCAGCAAAAAUAUGCGAAGUGCGGUUAUCUAUGAUUACAAAGAAUUCGGUGUAUUUUCCAUCUGACUUACCACACUGCCGCUUUUAACUAAUUUACGACUGCAAAGCUGAAAGUUCCUAAAAUCUAAAUUUGUAAAAUCAUUUUUGGACUAUUUCGUAACUUGUAACUCUUUUUUCUCUCGAAUUAAAAUUACUUGCAGUAUUAUAAGGGACCUUGUAAAGCACCCAGCUGCGAUUAAACCUAAUUAAAUAGGAAUGGAAAACGCAACUAAUUUUUUUGUGUCAAGAGAAAAUCAGUAAGUAAACAAAAAAAUAUCCCUCUGCGUUAACGCACAGUCUCAAAAGUACGUUUUUUACUUCAUCAAAACUUUGUUUUGUUGAUUUAUGCUUUUGCAACCAAAUAAUGACAUUAGCAACAUAAGGAAAGCAAAACUUCAGCACGUAAACAAGAAAUAAAUAAAUCAAUCAUAUAAUAGAUGUAAAUUAAAAAUGGCGGCCUACCUCAGCCAUGACUUGUGUUUGUAGGAGCAUGUUUAAACUUCUCGUGCAUUUAAAGUUUGUUUAUGUUUCGCGUCCGAGUUGUAUUAAAUGAUCUUACACAUCAAUGUCAAUGUAAAUAAAAGUCCAUUAUGUUCAUUUUAUUACAUGUUUUUAACCAAUUGAAUUUGAAAUGACGUAGAUAAGAACCAAUCAAAUUUGUGUAAUAAAUAAAUUGAUGUCGAUUGGAUUAAUAGCUAUAGAAUUGUUUGCAUUAAAAAGGGAAUGGCGCCAAUUUGAAAAUUGUUUUCCUGGUUGAUUAGAGUUUGUGUUGCGUAGCCCGAUAAUGACGAUUUUACCCGAGGUUUUUUAACAUUUUAUCAUAACAGCGCUGAAUAUUUUCUCGUUUGAAUGAAUCAGAUUUUGGUAAGUUUGUUUUGAUUGGUAAGAUAUGUGAGUAAAACAUCAUAACCCUACAAACAAAACACGUACACGCAAUCCAUGCGCCUGUUAAAGGCUGUCUGCAAGAUCACGUGAAUUCUCCAUUGACGUCACAAAGCGACUUCGUUACUAGUACUAUUUACUUAAAAAUAUGCAGAGCUUUAUAAAACACUUGGACCAGUGUUGGAAUUUUGUUUAUUUUUUUCUUAUAUUGCUAUGUCUGUUUUUGGUUGUCAUAGGUUACCAAUUAUGCACCGAUUCAUAUUGAAUUAAUCUGUCACUUUCAUGACGUCAGCAAGCGUUGCAUGCAGUUGGAAAAAAAUGGAUAUUGUCUGAAAAGGAAAUUUAACAGUAUGUCAGACUUUAUACGAAAAUGCAAGUUCGAGAAAUAAACGUCGCCGCUAAUGGUAAACAAACAAAAACUCGGAUUAGGGACGUGUUGACGUCAACAGUUUUCAUUCCAGUCUGUUGUGUAUCUUUGCUUUGCACAGUUCUAUCUGCAAUUAAUCCGCCCAAAACUAGUUUGUUACAACUUUAUUAUUGGUGCGGUUGACUGUUGAUCACCUUUAACUUACUUACAUUCGUAGCAGAGCUGCACAUUGUAUUGUUUUGGCUUGCUCUCCUGCAAACUAACCUAUAAUUCAAUGGAAGCCCUCAAAUGGAUUAAUAAUUCACAACAUUCCAAUUCACAGUGUACUGAAGUAGGGACUGAACUUGCAACCUUAUGAUGACUAGAACAAACAGUUAUUGAAGUGAAUAGUCGUCUGAAAUCGGCUGCUGCAAACCAACUAAUAUGCUUAGGUUGGCUUUACACGUUGACAAAAAACAACUUACAACGUAACCACAAUAAAAAAACAAACGAUUUAAUAAUUAUGUAAUUCCCAAGUACCAUUCAUUUUUCCGAUAUAUUAUUAGUUUAAUUGGUUUUUUCACGUGA